rnacentral:rRNA from 1 species
AGUGAACGCUGGCGGUAGGCCUAUCACAUGCAAGUCGAACGGCAGCACAGUAAGAGCUUGCUCUUACGGGUGGCGAGAGGCGGACGGGUGAGGAAUACAUCGGAAUCUACUUUUUCGUGGGGGAUAACGUAGGGAAACUUACGCUAAUACCGCAUACGACCUACGGGUGAAAGCAGGGGAUCUUCGGACCUUGCGCGAUUGAAUGAGCCGAUGUCGGAUUAGCUAGUUGGCGGGGUAAAGGCCCACCAAGGCGACGAUCCGUAGCUGGUCUGAGAGGAUGAUCAGCCACACUGGAACUGAGACACGGUCCAGACUCCUACGGGAGGCAGCAGUGGGGAAUAUUGGACAAUGGGCGCAAGCCUGAUCCAGCCAUACCGCGUGGGUGAAGAAGGCCUUCGGGUUGUAAAGCCCUUUUGUUGGGAAAGAAAAGCAGCAGGUUAAUACCCCGCUGUUCUGACGGUACCCAAAGAAUAAGCACCGGCUAACUUCGUG